rnacentral:rRNA from 1 species
GACAGAGGGUGCAAACGUUGUUCGGAAUUACUGGGCGUAAAGGGCGCGUAGGCGGCCUUCUAAGUCGAACGUGAAAUCCCUGGGCUCAACCCAGGAACUGCGUCCGAUACUGGAAGGCUUGAAUCCGGGAGAGGGAUGCGGAAUUCCAGGUGUAGCGGCGAAAUGCGUAGAUAUCGGAAGGAACACCAGUGGCGAAAGCGGCUUCCUGGUCCAGCACCGACGUUCAGGCACGAAAGCGUGGGGAGCAAACAGG